rnacentral:rRNA from 1 species
UGGGGAAUUUUGGACAAUGGGGGAAACCCUGAUCCAGCCAUCCCGCGUGUGCGAUGAAGGCCUUCGGGUUGUAAAGCACUUUUGGCAGGAAAGAAACGUCAUGGGUUAAUACCCCGUGAAACUGACGGUACCUGCAGAAUAAGCACCGGCUAACUACGUGCCAGCAGCCGCGGUAAUACGUAGGGUGCAAGCGUUAAUCGGAAUUACUGGGCGUAAAGCGUGCGCAGGCGGUUCGGAAAGAAAGAUGUGAAAUCCCAGAGCUCAACUUUGGAACUGCAUUUUUAAGUACCGGGCGAGAGUGUGUCAGAGGGGGGUGGAAUUCCGCGUGUAGCAGUGAAAUGCGUAGAUAUGCGGAGGAACACCGAUGGCGAAGGCAGCCUCCUGGGAUAACACUGACGCUCAUGCACGAAAGCGUGGGGAGCAAACAGG